CCCAAAAUACAGGAAUUUUUAGGCCUUGAUAUUGGUACUGGGUGUGGAACCCAGGGCCUCACAGAUCUUCUCAACCAGCUGGCUCUCUCAGUUGGCUUGUCUGUCUCUGUGCCUUCCCUGGAGGAGAGUCAAAUCACUGUCCUUUGUCCCCUUCUAUAUGGGGACAUCCUACAGGGCCCACUGUUACCUCAGACAGGAGCUGUGGCAAGAUGGUACACCCCUACCAUGUGACCUUCAGGAAGUCGCUUAGCCUGAUGGCUUUUCAACCUUAAGCAGGGAGCCAGGACUGUGGGUGAAAUGACAGUCUGUCUCUGUGCAGGGAUAAGCAUGGACCAAAACCAGCUUGGGAAGAAGGGGGUUUCUUUGGUUUAUGACUUACAGUCCAUCCUGGAGGGAAGUCAGGACAGAAACCCCAGGACUAUCUGCUCAAGAACGACACUGCCCACGGCAUGCUGUCCCUUCUACAGCAAUCAUCAAUAUAGAAGAUGCCCCUCAGCUUCCCUCUUCUCAGAUGUCUCUAGGCUGUGUGGAGUUGACAAACAACCACUCUACACACAUGUCUACGUGUUUCGCAGAGAACAGCACAUGCUCCUGGGAGAAGAGCAAAAGGACAGCAGGACAGCUUACGGUUUGGUCCUGGGGAAUCUGGGGAAGAAACUGACAAGAGUCUUGCGGACUUGGUUUUCAUCCCAUACCCAUGGAUUCACACCCACAAAAGCAACUCACAAAGCAGCCAGUGCUUGGAAUUUAUAUGCCAGUCUCCAGGAGAGGAGGCUAUGGUGGGUAACCUUGUUACCUACUUAAUGGGAUUUGACUCACUACAGAAGCAAACCUCUGCGUGCGUCUAUGAAGUUUCCAGAUUGUAUUCACGGGAGUGGGGAGACCCGUCCCGCCGGGGCAGCACAGUCCAUGAGCUGGAAUGUCCGGCUUAAUGAAAAGGAGUGAGCCUAACCGAACAGAGCUGAGCAUGCGCUUCUUUCUCCCCCUCUCCCCCCUCCCCCUCCUCCUUCCUGGAGUGAGUCGAGCAGAGCAUGCGCAUCUCUCUCUGCUUCCUGGCUGUCGAUGGAGCUGCCUCUUCCUCCUGCCUCCACCUUCCCACUCUGAGAGAUGCUACCCUUCAACCACCCUCGCAGAUAAUCCCAAAGGCUCAAAGGUUUGCUUCCCACCUGAUUCUGGAUCCUGUCAAGGUCACAGUCACUACUGACAGGUGCCGAAUUUGUUUCUAUUUCCUGACCUCUGGGUUCAUCUGCCUGGGUAAGAAACUCGGAGGCUUAUGGCAUGUCCCCAUGACACAGAACACAGAUGAAGGUCAAAGCUCUUACCGUGAAGGCCUCCCAACCUGACUUCAGUGCCCAUGCUGGCUCCAGACUUUUCAGCAUUUGCUUCAAACUCAAAUUCAGCCCAUUCAGCAGAAGAUGACCUUGAACUUCUGAUCUUCUGCCUCCGUGUCCAAAGCACCAGGAACGCAGGCAAGCGGCCGGGAGUCAGAAUACUAAGAUGGAGGAACUUGGCAAAACAUGAGAAGAGAGAGAAGCCUCUCACCACCACCAGCAGCAGGGCCAGAAUUCUAGCAAAAUUAACUGUUUCGGGCUCUCUCUGUUCCCAGCCGCAAACCUGAAGUUUACUAGAAACUGUACCAGAAAACCCAGCAGGAAGAGGUCGCAGCACUAGCGACUGCUGGGUUUACUUUAUCAGGUUUCUACCCAUCCAAGGGCUGGAGAGAUGGCUCAGUGGUUAAGAGCACCGACUCCUCUUCCGAAGGUCCUGAGUUCAAAUUCCAGCAACCACAUGGUCACUCACAACCAUCUGUAAUGAGAUCCGAUACCCUCUUCUGGUGCAUCUGAAGACAGCUACAGUGUACUUAGAUAUAAUAAUAAAUAAAUCUUUAAAAAAGAUUGUCUCUAGGAGACAAAUCUCUGC